AUGAGCUCUUCUUUCUGCCUCAGCGGACAGCUCCUCGGCGGCUAUUGGCGAGCUUGGGAGUUGUGGGUGUAUGCCUACUUUCCCAGGCUUGCCUCAGUACUUGAUGUGGAGACCCCACUUGGCGUCCCCUUUUCUCAUUGCUUUGAUGUACGAUGCGUGCGGAGGCCACGAGAGUCUUUUAUUUUCUUCUGCCGCUACUUCGACACCAUCACCGCCGCGGAGAUCACCUGGCGGCCUUGGGCUCCGUUGCUAGCCGUGGUGAGGGGAUCACUUUGAGGGCGCAAAGGAGACUGUCUAUUGCCGGAUUCUGUUGGAGGGCCCGGUCUGUCGGGCUUGGUACCUGCGCGAGCGUUUCUUGCGUCAGACCCUGGGUUUACCGGAGCAGAUAGUCCCGGGUCCACCUCCUACACAUAUGAGGCAUACAGAGGGGUUCUCCCUUGAGCAGAUGAGGGACUACACCAUCGGCUGGGGUGCAGAGCAUCAUAGAGGCGAGGACGACUACACAGAGUACGUCCGGACCUACAUUAUGCGACCCUUGAGCGGUGGUCGUCGGGUUGAGGGAGAGAGGCCAGCGGCGCCGGUAGCUGGAGCGGAAGCGGGGGCUGGAGCAGGAGCGUUGAGGAGAGUUGAAGUUCGCGGCAGGGGUGGAGUUCAGAGAGGGGGGGGACCAGCUGGCUUGCUCUGCCCACUUUACUGACAUACAGAGGGCAGGAUGGGCGACCUACCAGAUCCCCUUUGCUCCUCCCCCGGCU